UGUGCGUGUGUGUAUGUGCAGGGGCGGAUCUACCCAAUUUGGGGCCCUAGGCAAAAUAUAAACAUGGGCCCCCCCAAAGUCAUUUUUUCACCAAUUAGCAAGGAAGGAGCAAGGCUGUUAUUUUAGUGGUUUGUCUCGUAAAUAUUCAAUUACUAUACAUAUGUGACAAAUUAAGAUCAUAUAUGUGACAAAUUAAGAUUUUUGUGAGUUUAUCACGACAGGUGUGACAGUUAGGGACCCCUUAUCGAGGACAGAUUGGUCGGGGCCCUAGGCAGUUGCCUACAUUUGCCUAAUGACAUCACUGGAUCUGCAAAGCGUGUCGAUGCCCUGUAUUGUUUUUUUUUACUGUAAUUUUCAUGUUGAAUAAAAAAAUUGAUGCAUUUGAAACAA